AUUUGACAGCAGAUCGCUUAUGGGGUCAUCAAGGAAACUCAAUAGAUGGCUAUUUCAGUGGAGAUUAUACCAGAGAUGUUGUUUUGAAAGUAUAUGCCAGGAGAGAAAGAUAUACUUGAAACCCGAUGAGGUCAAUGAUGUGGAGAUUUUACCAGAGAUGUUGUUUUCAAGUAAGAUUUUGUGUGGGAUUAUACCGAUCGCACCAGCACGCCACAU